rnacentral:lncRNA from 1 species
ACCAGGCCGAGAAGAAACCCUUGGGGUUGGGGGCAGUUAUUAGUGAGGGCAAUUCAUUCAAUCCAGAGCCAGAAACAGGAUUUUAUUUAAAAUUUAUUGUAAUGGGGUCCGCGCAAAAGGAAGGGGUGGAGGGUGGGGUACAUGCAGGGGACACAGGAACACGAUGACAUGGCCAGGGCCACAACUUCUUCUGUCGUGGGGAAGAGGGAUGAAAAGACAAGACCAGGGCUGGAGCUGGGGUGGAAGAGGGGAGGGGGACACUGGCUGCAUUCCCCCGCCCCCAGGAAGCACCUCUAGGCCCUGGACCCCUCGCUCACCCUGGCCCCUAAGACUCCAUCUCUUCUCUGCCUCUGGCCCUCCUGGCUCUUCCUCCUGCUCCCCUUGACUUUUUCCCCUGACAGAUUCUCAAGUAGGACGAUGUUCAGGGCCUGACCCCAAACCCCCAUACCACCUUAUGAAGGUAAAACCUUUGCUGGCCCUGCUUCUGCCUCUCCUCAAACCUCACCGCUUUCCCUCUUUGGGACAGCUCUGAUCCCCCUCCUUCCUCUCCUCCCUCCCCCUGGAAAAAAAAAAAAAAGGAAAAGAAAGCACCAACUCCCCGGGGAGGGGCUGCAGACAGCAGGGGGAGAGGACUGGAAGGAGAGAAGAGGACCGUCGAGGGAAGAGGCUCACAAAUCCCUGGGAAGACAGGGCAUGGGCUUACAGAGAGGAGAGGGGGUACGGGCAGUGGCUGCUCGUGUCCUCUGCCACCCCUGCCCACUGUCCAGGGGACUUCAACACAACCGAGGGGACAGGUUUGUUUGGGGUCAGGUCUGAUAGAAGAGAGGAGCAGGAGAAACAAAUCGUUAAAACCUAGCGAAUUCCCCUAAGAAAACAUUUCUUCCUUCUUUCCUUCUGGAGGCUCCUUGGUUGGUGGGGAAAUAGGAGUUGGUGGGAAAAGAGGGGGGAGAGGAGCUUGUACCAAGGGACUCUACUCCAUUCUCCCCUCUCCCCCGCAACCAACUUGGAGCUCACCAGGGUUGGGAGGGAAGUGGCUGAGAGCUCACAGGCACCCCCUCCGCCCCCGAGAGGGAGCCCACAGCUGUGGGAGGGGCUGCUACUGCUGCUGCCGCCGCCGCUGCCGCCGCCGCCGCCGCCAUUGGACAAACCUCACCAGUACCUGCACAGGAGAAACACCACGGAUCACAGCGCGAUCUGAAUGAGGCCUCAGCCUGCAUCCUCACCCAGACAGAGCAGUUCUCAAGAAUCCUCCCUGUGCCCAGAAGUCUCCCUAGCCUGAGUGGUACAUGGGCAUCCCUCGCCUUCCUGAGAUCCCCUAUUGGGCCCUUUGAGCCCCGUUGUCCCCCACACCCCCCAUCCCGCCCCC